rnacentral:tRNA from 1 species
GGGCGCCUGGCUUAGUCAGAAGAGCAUGUGAUUCUUGAUCUCCAGUCGUGGGCUCAAGUCCCAUGUUGGCUA